GGAGAAGCUCGACAAUUGGGCUUCUGAAGAUAUCAUCCAAGUCACACUCAAUCAUGAGUAAAUUUUUGUUUUAUUUUGUUUAUCAUGCAAUAAUUCCUAUGCUCUGCCCAAGGCGUAGUGAAUCAUGUAGGGCCACCAUGUUUUUAUUUGUAAUUUUUAUCAUUAAAUAAAGGACGUUUUGCAUUCAAAUAUUCUGCUCUCUUUCUUUCUUUUUAUUUUGUUUUUCUUUUAAAACUGGCAAUUUUU
rnacentral:lncRNA from 1 species